ensembl:lncRNA
CCCAUAAUGAACUUAAUGCUGAUUGUUAAGGUUCUGACUCAACAGUACAGAUGCCCCCCCCCAUAUGAACUUAAUGCUGAUUGUUAAGGUUCUGACUCAACAGUACAGAUGCCCCCCCCCCCAUAUGAACUUAAUGCUGAUUGCUAAUGUUCUGACUCAACAGUACAGAUGCCCCCCACUAUGAACUUAAUGCUGAUUGUUAAGGUUCUGACUCAACAGAUGCCCCCCAUAUGAACUUAAUGCUGAUUGGUAAGGUUCUGACUCAACAGAUUCCCCCCCCCAUAAUGAACUUAAUGCUGAUUGUUA